ACGCAGAACAGGAGAGAGAUCACCGCCCUGACGGACACGGGCGCCACGGCGCAUGCGCAUAUACAUAACGUCCAUGCAGACAGGAGAGCUGGAGUUUAAAAAAAACUUUAUCAACUGUUUACUCACGUUAUUGAAGCACGCGCUCAUCGUGGGAGGGGGGUCAGACAGUCAUGUUGAGUCCUGAGUUUUCUGUUUCAAUGGCGAUGCUGCGGGCUUGAAUAACUUUUCAGUCAAAGAACCAGCUGGACAGCUUCCUGUGGCUUCUGCAAACAGACACACACGGUGAACAGCAGGGGGCGCCAUCCACCAAGGAGAGGGCAAAGAGCGAGCCGGAAGAUGGGAAGUUUUUGUGAAUUGGUUUCCUUCCUGGUUUCCAUUCAGUGAUCAUCAUCUUAAACUGGUGCACAGGUGAGGUGGAGUCACUGGCUGUGUCCCAAUUCAGGGUCUGCAGCCUUUUUUUUUCUUUUCUUUCUUUCUUUUUUUUAUUUAGACAAUUGAACAACAAACAUACAUAGUAAUGUAGAAUAUAGAAAGGGUAUGACAAAUCCCACAGCUUGCAGUAUCUUGAACAACUUAUGUAUACAAAUACAAGUACGUAAACAAAAACGAAUACUUUAGGAGAAAACAGAUAAACAAAAUCACUGAAAGAAAAAACAAGGUGCUCAAGGUAUAAAUAAACAACAUAUAAGUCAAGUGAAACUAUACAUUCAACACAGCUCUUGUGUUUUACAUGCUUUGGAGUUAGUACUGUUCUUAAGAGUUAUUUGGAAAACAGGGCUUUAAAAGCAAAUAUGUUUGGACGCUGUUGAGAAAAUUUUGUACAAUGUAUGUGAAAUUUGGCAAAAAUAAUCAGAAGAUUAAUAUAUUUUUUCCCUGGAAUUAUUUUAUCGGUAUGUGAGAGGCCAAAUAGAAUAUGUUGAGGAUCUGCAGCCUUAAAGGCCGCAUUUUAAGGCCGAUUACGUUACAGCGACGCGCCGAAGGCUGUCCCAAUUCAAAGGCUGUUCGAAAUGCGGCCAUCCUUCAAUUCCCUGAAUUUUAAGGACGUGGCGGUGUAGACUUCGUGGCCCAACAUAUCCCACAAUUCAUAGCGCGGCAGUCGGUGUGGAUCAUUUUGCCGCAGACGGCAGAAGCGGAGCGGUCGAAGAGUAAACUGUUAAAACUUAUCACACAUUUGAUUUCCAUGUGUGACAACUGCAAGUGU